AUGCUAACUAGUGAAAUGGGUGCUUUUUAUGUACUUUUUAUACUACUAAUCUUCUCCAAUUCUGGAUUUCUGUGUAUUGCUGGUGGUUUAUUAAAUUUCACAAGUUCGCCUUCUUCGUCUCAUAAAAAUCUGUCUGGAAAUAGAAACACUGAGUUGGAAGACAAGAGAGGUGUGCCAUCAGGAGCUAAUCCUUUGCAUAAUCGGUAA